GUGCCAUACAAAUUGGGCUUUUCACACAAUCCAACAUGUGGUGUUUAGUGAGCAGGCAGUAGCAGACUUAGAGAGCUUAUUAUCUUUGUGUUGUUGUUUGUCAUGUUUCCCAACAGGAUGACUCAGUAAUUCUGCUCUUCAAGGGAUCUGCUUUCCGGAGUUAGAACGAGGUAGGAAGGAAAACUAGGACAACAAAGCUGUGUUGUACAGAGGAGCUCACAGCAGGCAGUGUCAGAAAUUCUCACUCUUGACAGCAACAGAACAAGGCUAAAAUCUGAUGCAGCAUGUCCUAAAGUUUCACGGCAGUUCAAGUUUUCUUUUCACUCGUGUUGGAAAAACAGACACAGAAAAUGUUUUCAACUUAUGAGCGAGGCGCUGCAGUGCUAUGGCUGUAACAUCCUCCAGGGCCAGAGGUACGUGGACGUGGGCUGCUCCAGCCCAGAGGUCAUCACUUGCUCCCACUCCCACAAAGGCUUCAAGCACCGCUUCUGCAUUAGGACAGAGAGCAGUGCCCUGGGCAUCGUGCUGACCAGUGGUUGUGCCACGUCUCGACACUGCCAGCAACAGGAGCUACCUGGGGUGCUGAUCCACUGCUGCGUCUCAGACCUCUGCAACAGCACCCCCGACUGGAGCAGAACGACAUUACACUGGCUGUGCUCGGUGGCUACACUGCUGCUCAUACUCUGGCUACAAUUGUGAGAGAGAGUCGCUGAGCAGAAACACACUGACUAGGGCCCACUUCUGCCCUACUGGUCAAUCCUGUGGCUGUGUCCUAGAUCAGUGGUUUCCAACCAGGGGAACUAGGACUCCUGGGGGUACUUGGCUAUCCACAGUGUGUACUUGAGAAGACAAGUAGGCCUACUGGUAAAAUGUACUUCAGAGGUACUCCGGAGCAGAGCAGCAUUCGGUUGGUGGUAUGGUAACCAAAAAAGGUUGGAAACCAUUGUCCUAGAGAAAAGCCAUUGGAGGAGAAUGAUCAAUGAGAGGCAGGAACCUGCACGGAUAAAUAGUGGAUGACGAUAGAAUGUUUAACGAUCGGCAAGCCUGUGAAUAUUGUUAUUUCCCUUACAUGGCUAAAAUGAGAUUAUGAAGGUAGUUAGUCAAAUAAGGGUUUUUGUGGUGAAUCGGUGUCAGUAAUGAUGUGUAGAUAUGUUGGGGGGGAGGGGUCAUGAGGUAGGGGUGGGGUGGGGGAGACAGAAUGGAAUGGAGAUUGGGAGAUGUCUUGGAGAAAAAUGUAAUGUUGAAAGGGCUAAAUAAUAUGUUUCUCUGAUUUGUUAGAUGAUGUUGUUAAUUUUUAUUGUUUAAGACUUUAGCCUGUUUGGUCAGCCAGUUAAGUAUGCUGUGUCUCCACUACUCUGUAUCUCCACUAGAGGGCAGCAUCUAAUUGUUUGACAUACACUACAUGACCAAAAGUAUGUGGACACCUGCUUGUCCAAAAUCAUAGACAUUAGUUUGGAGUUUGUCCCCCUUUUCUGCUAUAACAGCCUCCACUCUUCUGGGAAGGCUUUCCACAAGAUGUUGUAACAUUGCUGCAGGGACUUGCUUCCAUUCAGCCACAAGAGCAUUAGUGAGGUAAAGCACUGAUGUUGAGCGAUUAGGCUUGUCAGCAUUCUAAUUCAUCUCUAAGUUGCUCGAUGUGGUUGAGGUCAGGGCUUUGUGCAGGCUAGUCAAGUUCUUCCACACCGAUCUUCACAAACAAUUUCUGUAUGGACCUUGCUUUGUGGACAGGGGCAUUGUCAUGUUGAAACAGGAAACAGGAAAUGGCCUUCCACAAACUGUUGCCACAAAGUUG
rnacentral:lncRNA from 8 species